AUUGAACGCUGGCGGCAUGCUUUACACAUGCAAGUCGAACGGUAACAGGGAGCUUGCUCCGCUGACGAGUGGCGAACGGGUGAGUAAUGCAUCGGAACGUGCCGUGUAAUGGGGGAUAACGUAGCGAAAGUUACGCUAAUACCGCAUACGCCCUGAGGGGGAAAUGGGGGACCGCAAGACCUUGCGCUAUACGAGCGGCCGAUGUCAGAUUAGCUAGUUGGUAGGGUAAAGGCCUACCAAGGCGACGAUCUGUAGCGGGUCUGAGAGGAUGAUCCGCCACACUGGGACUGAGACACGGCCCAGACUCCUACGGGAGGCAGCAGUGGGGAAUUUUGGACAAUGGGCGAAAGCCUGAUCCAGCCAUGCCGCGUGAGUGAAGAAGGCCUUCGGGUUGUAAAGCUCUUUCGGCUGGGAAGAAAUCGCACAGGCUAAUACUCUGUGUGGAUGACGGUACCAGCACAAGAAGCACCGGCUAACUACGUG
rnacentral:rRNA from 1 species